rnacentral:rRNA from 1 species
GACGAACGCUGGCGGCGUGCUUAACACAUGCAAGUCGAACGGAAAGGCCCUGCUUUUGUGGGGUGCUCGAGUGGCGAACGGGUGAGUAACACGUGAGUAACCUGCCCUUGACUUUGGGAUAACUUCAGGAAACUGGGGCUAAUACCGGAUAGGAGCUCCUGCUGCAUGGUGGGGGUUGGAAAGUUUCGGCGGUUGGGGAUGGACUCGCGGCUUAUCAGCUCGUUGGUGGGGUAGUGGCUUACCAAGGCUUUGACGGGUAGCCGGCCUGAGAGGGUGACCGGCCACAUUGGGACUGAGAUACGGCCCAGACUCCUACAGGAGGCAGCAGUGGGGAAUAUUGCACAAUGGGCGGAAGCCUGAUGCAGCAACGCCGCGUGCGGGAUGACGGCCUUCGGGUUGUAAACCGCUUUCGCCUGUGACGAAGCGUGAGUGACGGUAAUGGGUAAAGAAGCACCGGCUAACUACGUG